GGUGGCUUCGGCUACCACUUACAGAUGGACCCGCGGCGCAUUAGCUAGUUGGUGAGGUAACGGCUCACCAAGGCGACGAUGCGUAGCCGACCUGAGAGGGUGAUCGGCCACACUGGGACUGAGACACGGCCCAGACUCCUACGGGAGGCAGCAGUAGGGAAUCUUCCGCAAUGGACGAAAGUCUGACGGAGCAACGCCGCGUGAGUGAUGAAGGUUUUCGGAUCGUAAAGCUCUGUUGUUAGGGAAGAACAAGUGCCGUUCAAAUAGGGCGGCACCUUGACGGUACCUAACCAGAAAGCCACGGCUAACUACGUGCCAGCAGCCGCGGUAAUACGUAGGUGGCAAGCGUUGUCCGGAAUUAUUGGGCGUAAAGGGCUCGCAGGCGGUUUCUUAAGUCUGAUGUGAAAGCCCCCGGCUCAACCGGGGAGGGUCAUUGGAAACUGGGGAACUUGAGUGCAGAAGAGGAGAGUGGAAUUCCACGUGUAGCGGUGAAAUGCGUAGAGAUGUGGAGGAACACCAGUGGCGAAGGCGACUCUCUGGUCUGUAACUGACGCUGAGGAGCGAAAGCGUGGGGAGCGAACAGGAUUAGAUACCCUGGUAGUCCACGCCGUAAACGAUGAGUGCUAAGUGUUAGGGGGUUUCCGCCCCUUAGUGCUGCAGCUAACGCAUUAAGCACUCCGCCUGGGGAGUACGGUCGCAAGACUGAAACUCAAAGGAAUUGACGGGGGCCCGCACAAGCGGUGGAGCAUGUGGUUUAAUUCGAAGCAACGCGAAGAACCUUACCAGGUCUUGACAUCCUCUGACAAUCCUAGAGAUAGGACGUCCCCUUCGGGGGCAGAGUGACAGGUGGUGCAUGGUUGUCGUCAGCUCGUGUCGUGAGAUGUUGGGUUAAGUCCCGCAACGAGCGCAACCCUUGAUCUUAGUUGCCAGCAUUCAGUUGGGCACUCUAAGGUGACUGCCGGUGACAAACCGGAGGAAGGUGGGGAUGACGUCAAAUCAUCAUGCCCCUUAUGACCUGGGCUACACACGUGCUACAAUGGGCAGAACAAAGGGCAGCGAAACCGCGA
rnacentral:rRNA from 1 species